AGAGUUUGAUCCUGGCUCAGAAUGAACGCUGGCGGCGUGCUUAACACAUGCAAGUCGAACGGUAACAGGUCUUUCGGGAUGCUGACGAGUGGCGCACGGGUGAGUAAUGUAUAGGUAACGUGCCCCUUAGUCUGGGAUAGCCACUGGAAACGGUGAUUAAUACUGGAUACGCCUUCUAAUUUGAUAUUAGAAGGGAAAGGUUUUUCGCUAAGGGAUCGGCCUAUAUUGUAUCAGCUUGUUGGUGAGGUAAGAGCUCACCAAGGCGAUGACACAUAGCGGGUUUGAGAGGAUGAUCCGCCACACUGGUACUGAGACACGGACCAGACUCCUACGGGAGGCAGCAGUGAGGAAUAUUGCACAAUGGGGGAAACCCUGAUGCAGCAACGCCGCGUGGAGGAUGACGCAUUUCGGUGUGUAAACUCCUUUUAUAAGAGAAGAAGAUGACGG
rnacentral:rRNA from 1 species